CCUCCCUCCCCCCCCACCUGGACGAACCCCAGGAGUGCUCGCUGGUCCAGGGCGCAGAGAUGUGGACACCGCCACCUCUGCACGCACGCCUCGGAACACACGUGCACGCUAGGAUGUGGACGGGCUCGGGGGCCCCUCCACUGAGAUCUGCCCCCUCCCAGACUUUGGGACACCUCUGGGAAGCACGUGUCACAGGCCAAGAGGGCAGACUCCUGAGCCCACAGAGGUACCUUCAGCCCCAGGUGUAAUGCCCAUAUCCCAGACGGAGAAACUGAGGCCACACAAGGGGAAAGGCUGUCCUGAAGGUCGGACUCCUCCUCAUUCCAGUCUCUUUACCACCAGACAGCUCCACACCCCAGGCCCAACCCUCUAAGGACACCUGGGCCAUUCCCACCCGCCUCCCUCUCUUCGGGCACAGGGGCCCUUGGUGCCCAGUGGUGCCUCCAGGGCCUGCACACUUGGGGGUGAAGCAAACAGGCCUCUGGGCCAAGUUCCUGCUUGACGUUGUGCAUCAGUGGAGCCUCAAGAAGACCCGCCCUAGAGAGACAGCGCGAACAUGAAACAGCCAAGCCUGGAGAAGCGGUAGGAGGCACAGCUUCAAGAGAAAAGGGGGUGUGGCUUGACCCAAGAUUCCUGCCUCGACCUUUGGGGCCAGAGAUCUCAGAGGUACCCCAGGGCCAGAGUUUGGAGGCUCCCAGAUUGCACCCACCUUGUCCUUACCUCCAUGGCUUUGCUCAGGCUCUGCCACCAGACACACAGACCAGUGCUCGGGGACAGUGACACUUCCCAAGACGUGCCCAGCCCCAACUCUCCCUGCCCCCCACCUGCCCCCAGAGAAGUUGCUCCAAGCUCCCUUCCCACCCCUGCUGAAAGAUGGCUUGACUCCCUAAACCACCAUCCCUCUCUACGCUCCCUUCCAGAAAGCUCCAUCAUGUGGGAGUGUAAUAGUGAUGAAGGGCAGCAGCUCUUCUCAGCCCUGAUGCCCUGCAGCCCGGACCAGCCAUGCCCACCGUCGGCACCGUCUCCACCUCCGCCACUGCCCCCAACCCAGGGACUAAAUGAGCAACAGGGGCAGCAAACUUUAGGGACGCCUAGGUUCUAGCACCUGUGAUUCAGGGCAGGGAACGGGCUUUGCAAGCUGCAAAACACGAAACAAUCAGUGGGGAAUGUUACUGUUAAACAGCAAAGUUACCACCAUCCCCAGAUCGCCCGUGCAAAGCUGAGUGAGCUGGAGAGGACGAGGCCCAGCCCCGUCUCUAUUCCCCGGCAGCCAGGGCUGGAGCGCCCCUGAGCUGGCCAUUGUCUGGAGGCUGGAAGGUACACAGAGCGGCAGGUUGGACAAGAAAAAUCCUGGGGGACAGGACGGGAUGUGGAGGUACCGAAGGACAGGUCUGCCUUAGAGCACCAGGAAAGCACUGAGGGAGAUUGAUGGGCAUUCUCACAAAGUAGAAGAAAAAAUUAUGACCCACGCAAGAGCCCAAUCCCUGAAACCAGUAGGUUAUCUAUCCCGUAAGAAACUCAGGACUCUGCCCAGACGGCCAAGGCUCUGCAGUGUGGCACAGAGGCAAAGGCCCUGACCCCCGUUCUCAGCCCAGAUCUACCGUUCACUCCUCCAGAAAUCCACCCACCCCUCCAGGCCUCAGCAUCCAUGUCUGUAAAAUGGAGAAGCC